GUGCUAAUACAUGCAAGUCGAGCGAAUGGAUUAAGAGCUUGCUCUUAUGAAGUUAGCGGCGGACGGGUGAGUAACACGUGGGUAACCUGCCCAUAAGACUGGGAUAACUCCGGGAAACCGGGGCUAAUACCGGAUAACAUUUUGAACCGCAUGGUUCGAAAUUGAAAGGCGGCUUCGGCUGUCACUUAUGGAUGGACCCGCGUCGCAUUAGCUAGUUGGUGAGGUAACGGCUCACCAAGGCAACGAUGCGUAGCCGACCUGAGAGGGUGAUCGGCCACACUGGGACUGAGACACGGCCCAGACUCCUACGGGAGGCAGCAGUAGGGAAUCUUCCGCAAUGGACGAAAGUCUGACGGAGCAACGCCGCGUGAGUGAUGAAGGCUUUCGGGUCGUAAAACUCUGUUGUUAGGGAAGAACAAGUGCUAGUUGAAUAAGCUGGCACCUUGACGGUACCUAACCAGAAAGCCACGGCUAACUACGUGCCAGCAGCCGCGGUAAUACGUAGGUGGCAAGCGUUAUCCGGAAUUAUUGGGCGUAAAGCGCGCGCAGGUGGUUUCUUAAGUCUGAUGUGAAAGCCCACGGCUCAACCGUGGAGGGUCAUUGGAAACUGGGAGACUUGAGUGCAGAAGAGGAAAGUGGAAUUCCAUGUGUAGCGGUGAAAUGCGUAGAGAUAUGGAGGAACACCAGUGGCGAAGGCGACUUUCUGGUCUGUAACUGACACUGAGGCGCGAAAGCGUGGGGAGCAAACAGGAUUAG
rnacentral:rRNA from 1 species